AGGGGCACCUGNAUCUUACAUGCCGCGUGAGUGAAGAACGCCUUCGGGUUGUAAAGCUCUUUUGUCAGGAAAGAAACACCGGCUCUAACACAGUCCGGGAAUGACGGUACCUGAAGAAUAAGCACCGGCUAACUACGUGCCAGCAGCCGCGGUAAUACGUAGGGUGCGAGCGUUAAUCGGAAUUACUGGGCGUAAAGCGUGCGCAGGCGGUUAUACAAGACAAGCGUGAAAUCCCCGGGCUUAACCUGGGAAUGGCGCCUGUGACUGUAUGGCUAGAGUGUGUCAGAGGGGGGUAGAAUUCCACGUGUAGCAGUGAAAUGCGUAGAUAUGUGGAGGAAUACCAAUGGCGAAGGCAGCCCCCUGGGAUAACACUGACGCUCAUGCACGAAAGCGUGGGGAGCAAACAGGAUUAGAUACCCUGGUAGUCCACGCCCUAAACGAUGCUGACUAGUUGUUCGGGAUUUACAUCCUGAGUAACGUAGCUAACGCGUGAAGUCAGCCGCCUGGGGAGUACGGUCGCAAGAUUAAAACUCAAAGGAAUUGACGGGGACCCGCACAAGCGGUGGAUGAUGUGGAUUAAUUCGAUGCAACGCGAAAAACCUUAGCUACCCUUGACAUGUCACUAACGAAGUAGAGAUACAUUAGGUGCUCGUCAGAGAAAGUGAACACAGGUGCUG
rnacentral:rRNA from 1 species